GCAAUCCCUGCCUCAGCCUCUCAAGUAGCUGAGAUUACAGGCACCUGCCACCACACCCGCUAAUUUUUGUAUUUUUAGUAGAGACGAGUUUCACCAUGUUGGCAAGGCUGCCUUGAACUCCUGAGACUGUAUUUUUAUUUUUGCUAACACCCACGUCUUCUACCCCAUCCUUGCUGGGUGAUGGUCCACCAGGCUUCCAAGAUGGACUCCUCACUCUUCUCAUUCCCAGAAUUUACCUGCGACCAAGCCCCUGCCUGGAAUCUCCCAGUUCAUCCUCCCUCUCCACACCUGGGAUCUCUGCAGAGGUACUAUCAUUGCCCCAUUUUACAGAUGAAGAAACAGAGGCUUCGGCCGCUUGCCCGAGAUCCUGCGGCUGGUAAGUGUCGGAAUCUGAACUCAGACAGCUGGGCUGUAUAGAGAGCGUGCUCUUAAAC
rnacentral:lncRNA from 1 species